rnacentral:tRNA from 1 species
GGCCCCAUCGUCUAGAGGCCUAGGACGGCGCCCUCUCACGGCGCAAACAGGGGUUCGAAUCCCCUUGGGGUCACCAGUA